rnacentral:lncRNA from 1 species
GACUGAGUGCCGUCCAACUGGGGACAUUUGCUCUGCUCAGUUCACUGCCUUCAACAAGCUUGACGCAUUGAACGAGGGCUCAGUCGAUAAUGUACUCGGUAAAUACUCUCUCCCGGCUAGAGUGAGCAAAGCCCAGGGAGCGGGUGGUUCUUCAGUAUUACUCAGGUGUUUGUGGCAGGGCCAGCUGUGCGGCUGCCAGAGCGAAUGUGACCAGGAAGCCUCUGUCCCCCCGAGGUGGCCAGCGAUCCUGUUACAUGUGCCAUAGGCAGAAGAUCUAUACAACCUGGCGUUUGGCCGUGGCUUCCAGGACAGGCUGGAUGCAGAGUGAAGUCCUCUCCUCACUGUCAAUGUUUGCAGAUGUCUUCUUGUAUAAACUUCGUAUUUCUUGAGACUUUCAAUUAGGUUUUUACUUAACUGGACUUUUAAAAUUGCCAUGCACAUAACUCUACCAGUUACAAUCUUGAGCUAACAUGGGUUUUGGUUUUGGUUUUGGUUUUACUUUGAUGAAUGUUUAACAUUUGCAUGCUGGAUGUGGGGGUGGAGGUCAUUUAUCUGCUUUUCAUUGCCUUCUUGGUUAUACUUAGUGACUUUCAGGUAAGGUGUGGAAGGCGUGGUACAGGGUGAAUUGCAGGCCGCACUGUGGCGCCGUGGAGGACAGGUGCGGGCUGCAGUGGUGUGCACAGUGGAUGAGAGACAAGAGGAGACUUCCAUCCUUGAGGGAAACACACAACAAUUUAAAAAACUGAUCGUCUAGCUUACAUGAGGUCCAACAAAUUCAGUUUGCAAAGUUUAACUUCCAAGUUAAUUUAGUAAUUUUUCCCCUAAGUCAUUAAUUUAGUAGCUUAUGUUUAAAUAUAUUUCUUUUGUCUAAAGGAGGCCAUAAAUUCUAAAAUGAAUGACUAAACAUGUAAUAAUUUAGGCAUACAGCACCUGAAGGGAAAACUGCCAGUAUGCUAAAAUAUUGGAUACAGAUGCUUUUAAAAAAUAUAAUGUAGCAUUCUUACAAUGCAUGUGCUCUUAGCGUGUAACUUGGUGGGUAGUUUUGAACUAUAUUUGUGGGAAUGUGUAUCUUGAAUACUUGAGGCUACCACUGCAGAUGUGUGUGUGAGAUGUAUAAAUACUGAAUGUUAUUCUCCCUUCCCUUAAAUGGAAAACAUUAGCUCCCUUUUAUUUCCAUUUUAUUUUUAUUUUUGAAGUGGACUCUUGCUCGUUGCCCAGGCUGGAGUGCAAUGGCACAAUCUCGGCCCACUGCAAUUUCUGCUUCCCGGGUUGAAGUGAUUCUCCUCUCUCAGCCUCCUGAGUAGCUGGGACUACAGGCACCCGCCACCACGCCCAGCUAA